ensembl:lncRNA
UCCGCCCCCAGCGUCUGCUCUGGGCCUGGGAGACCCCAUCACCCCCGCCCCCACCCCACAUAGCCCCAUUGUGAGUCCGUGUAGCUGGCCUUGUCUGUUGACUUCUCUCCAUCCCGGGGCGGGGGGGGGGGGGGGGGGGGGCCGGUUCAGGUGCCUGGGGUGGAGGGUGGAGGGGUGAGGCGGUGCGGGGCUCGGAGACCAGCCUCAGAGCUCCCCAGGCUCCUUAGACCCACUCAAGAACUUGCCAGUAAAAUGAGGGACAAUGUGCAUAUUGGAAAAUUCAAGUCCAGGCAGGUGGGCUAUAUGCAUGUUCCAGGCUGCUGUUUGCCGUGGCCCUGGAGGACCUCACUGGAGAACAAAUAUUGAUGCUUUGUUAGCGCACACAGACAUUCUCGGCAAUGCUGAUUAGCGCUUGGGGCUGAUCCGACCAAGGUCAGGGGCUUGUGCCCCCUCAAACUGCACCCAUUAGCUUCUCUUAGAGAAGCCCGGAGACGACACGCCUGGCGGUGGGAGGGGGCUUUCCAGUCCACCAGCAUGGACCCGAAUGCUCAGGCCUCCCUGCCUCUAAGGCUUUCACCUUCCAUGGCUUCAGAGGAUCGCAUGAGGUCAACACCAGCUAAGACGUGUGAAGCCCUUGACACAGAGCUCAGCAGAGACAGGAUGCUCAGUCCAUGGGAGCCAUGAUGAUGAUAAUGAUUAUUAACAUGUUCCCAAGGUGGCCUUCGUCUGCUAAGCGUCUUUUCAACUCUCUUUUUUCGACGGACGACAACGGGGUUCUCCCGAAGGUGUUCUGCCAUUCACAGACUCAUUACUCGCUCCCUUUGCAUUUUGAGAGGUGACUUGUGCAAGCCCUGACGUUUUCCUUUAGGGAGCCCUGAUGGUCCUCUGUGCCCUCAUUGUGCCCAACCAGCAGCACCGGGCGCCCUCACGAUGGCCUUCACCCGAGCCAGGCUUCAUUCAGAGAGCAGCCUCCAGACUUCAUCAUGGGGGGAGAAACAGCUCACUACUUAAAAAAAUUAAAACAGUCAGUCAUCAGGCUGAAAUAAAAC